UACGUAGGGUGCGAGCGUUAAUCGGAAUUACUGGGCGUAAAGCGUGCGCAGGCGGUUCGUGAUGUCUGGUGUGAAAGCCCCGGGCUUAACCUGGGAAUUGCAUUGGAAACUAGCGGGCUGGAGUGUGGCAGAGGGGGGUGGAAUUCCACGUGUAGCGGUGAAAUGCGCAGAUAUCAGGAAGAACACCAAUGGCGAAAGCAGCUCUCUGGGACGGUACUGACGCUGAGACGCGAAAGCGUGGGGAGCGAACAGG
rnacentral:rRNA from 1 species